rnacentral:rRNA from 1 species
CACCGGCGGCUCGAGAGGUGGCCACUUUUAUUGGGUCUAAAGCGUCCGUAGCCGGCUUGGCAAGUCCCCUGGGAAAUCUGGCGGCUUAACCGUCAGGCGUCCAGAGGAUACUGCCAGGCUUGGGACCGGGAGAGGUGAGAGGUACCUCAGGGGUAGGGGUGAAAUCUUGUGAUCCCUGAGGGACCACCAGUGGCGAAGGCGUCUCACUAGAACGGGUCCGACGGUCAGGGACGAAAGCUGGGGGCACGAACCGG